UCAGAUCUCAAAAACCCUCUACGACCUUUCCUCUAAACCCAAGAAUCCUUUGCUCCAAACGCAUCCCCAAUAUCAAAACCCCCAAAAUCAAAACCAUCCCUCAACUCCUCUCCAUUCACGACUUUGAAGACUUUGACGGUGACGACGGCAACAAAAUCCUUCGUAUUUGCAUAUGGGAAAUUGAUCCUCUCCGCCUCUCUAAUUUCGUGAUGGGUUUUGCUAUUGGGAACCAAUUUGCAUAUGGGUUUUGCAGUCUCCCUCCCCGACUACUACGACCGCUCCCCUCUACCUCGAAGGUCUCCGCCACCUGGGUUUAAGCGGUAGGGAGUCCCUAGAUAGAGCUAAAUGCCAUGGCGUCGGAUCAGAACAUGAGUUGCUGGACCGAUCUCCUCCACUCCUCCACCAAGCUUCUCGAACAAGCCGCUCAUUUUCCCCCUCUCCAGAUUAUAAAUAGGCUUCUCAAACAUUUGAAUGGUAUUCCUGGUGCCAAGAAUUUGUUAAUUUUCUUGAAUGGAUAUCAAGGACAAGAGAGGACAUUAUGACAACGGUGAAUUUAAUGGGCGCUCAAUUUUCUAAACCAUUGGUGGCAAGUAGAGUCACUCAUCUCAUUUGUUAUAAAUUUGAAGGUAUGGUUUCUCUCCUAUGCCCUUUACUAAUAAUGUGAACUUGUAGCUGCAGCUUCUUAAUGAAGGCCCACUGUUAUGCAUGCUAUUCUGAAAAUGAAAUGGGAAUCGGACAUGAUCUACCAUUAGGAAGAUAUGAGUUACACAACUUAUGCAAUUGAUAGUUGACCAGCUUGACCGUUGAGAUCAUAGUCAUUUCUUGAUGAGGGCAGAGUGUACUUGCCCAGUAAUCAUCAUAGAUGUGCCAAGUUUGUAAGGUCUUUGAGAAGAGGAAGUAUGGAGUUGCUAAUCUCCACGAAGGCAGCAGGAUAAUCACCGCCAGUUCGGACAUACUGUGCCAUUAAGGUUUAGGAACAUUGUUGAAUGAACCAACGUCUUCGGAACCUACUAAACACCAGUUUAUCAAGGAAUUUUAAUCCAUUCAGUACUAAGAGUAGCAAAAAUGUCUUGGUGACCACAAAAUGGGACAAUUUUGAAUUGGGAGUUAGAAGACUUCACUGCUGGGUAAAGAUAUUAGGCACCAUCCUGAUUUUGUAUGUAUUUGUGUAAAAUGAAACUAUGUGGCUUUCAUAAACUACGUAAAUAAUAUACACUUAUUUCAUAUAUUUGUCAGUUGGUGA